UAGAAGGGAAUAUCUAUUAUGCUUGUAUAAUUAUAUCUAGAUUUCACAAGUUUUCUCUGUUUUCUCAAAAGUGAAAAUGGUAACUUGGGGACACCAAUAAACGUGUCCCUGGGAGCAGAUGGCAUUGUGGUAUAUCAUUUAAAGAUGUAUGAGUUGCUCAUUCUUACAUAUGGGUUUAUCUCUACCACUGUGAACUGUACCAAACAAGCUGAAGAAAAAUGAAUUAUGUCAGUAAAGUUAAGCAAGUGUCUGCUGGCUUGGAAAUAAAUUCUUACCCUGACUGCUUGGACCACUGAACUGGCUCUAGAGGCAUCCUCUAUGGCAUCGGGUGGCUGCUAUUCAAUUUACAUCCAAGCUCAGCUCUCACUGAAUCUAAAGGUAUACCACCCACUUAUUCAGAGAAAACAGAAAGGCAAUUACACAUCUUGUUUAAUGUCAUGGAAUCAACAGACAGCACAAUACCAAGGCACAGAGUGGAAUGAUUAAGGCCUGAGCAUACCUCAGCAGUGAGUGCUUUGAAAGCCAGCAGCAAUGAUACGCUGGAGGCACUGGUUUCAUUGCAGUGGUGUGUGGAAAGAAUUGGAAAGUGGGCAAACAGCAGGAGAAAGCAUUGAGAGUGUGAAACUUAAAAGGGUUAGAAAGACUUGUGGUACCUGGGGCCUCGUGGAAGGAAAGCUUUAUCUACACAAUUGUGUUUAUAAAGGCUGUAUUUCCCCAUCUUUGUAUAUGAAAAGGAUCGCUUUAUCAAAAGCAGUAGCUCUUACUGCAGCCAAACAAACAUGACCAACAUGCUCAGUUGUGCCUAACUGCCUAAGGAUUAACACCUAAAAGGCAGGCAUUUGGAACAGAGGCCCGGUAGCAUAAAGUUCAAAAUCCAUCCGUUCCUGGUGUAGCUCCAGUGAAACAGUGGGAACCACACCGGCUUGUAUCAGAUGACACUGCCCUUCAAUUCCUAUCAUCGCAGACCAGCAACCCAUUAAGGACACAUCUCAGAAACACACCAGAGCUGUCAGAGCAAUCACUUAGGAAUCAUUAGAACAACAGUUACAGAGUUCUGUGGUCCAUGCUUAGCUCCUGCAGCCCUUCCAAGUGCAAGGGUUCCCUCAACAGGCCCUAACGCUCAUCUUCUUUUGUAUGGUCCUUCAUGAUUACCUAUCAGCACGGCAAUUAACAGGGUGCUUAUGAAAGUCUUUAAGAUCACUUAAAAAAAAGAUUUUUAGAAAAUUCAGUUAUUAGUCAAAUAAUUUGCGUAAAUAUUACUUUUGUAGAGCUGCAUCAAUUACUCUUGCCAUUUCCUUGUUCAAGGAGCAGCAUCCCAUUCAGAAGGAAAGCAGAUAUGAAUUUGUCUUCAGAGGAGCCCAAAACACAGAGCCAGGUCUGAAUACUGCUCUUAUGAGGACUUACUGGAAAAAUCCACCUUACUCUGCUGCAGGGCUGACUCUAUACAGUUUUAAUAGGCAGCUCUGAAUCAGAAUCAGGAACUGCAGAUCCAGCUCCAAAGCUCGCAUUUGUUUUUGUUACCUUGCUGCUAUACAAUGGGCAAGCAAAGCAGAAACCUAGGAUUAUUCUUAAGGCUGACCACUUUAUUAAAAAUAUUAACAGUUGAAAAGAAUACAUUCUACAGUAAAUUCUUUUUUUCUUGUUUUGCAUUUCCCAGCAGUCACACUCACCUAUUCUAACUUUGUUAGCUGGUUCCAGAGAGCAGAGAAAGCAAACCAGCUCCUACUGAAAGAGGGGGCAAAAAUACUUCACACAACUGGGAGUGAGAAGGCAUUUCUGAAGGUCAUUACAAGCAAGGACUGAAUGCUAGGAUGACCCUGAACGUUCAUCUCCAUAGUGGAAUGAAUAAUGACUAUGUUAUCAGAGCGACGUUAAAUAUUGACUAUGAAUGCAUUAUAAAUGGUUUUCCCCCUGUAAUUAUAUGGGUAAGAUUAACUGAAGUUCUACCUGGAAGCUAUAAUUUUUGUGAUACUUUGUAACUCUACUUAAUGGAACUCGUAAUAAAUGACCUAUACUAGCAGGAAAUACAUCAGAACAAUUUUUACUUGAACAGCUAAAAUACAAACAGUACAUUUCUAAAAAGCUAUAUACACAUAAAAGUAUUUAAAACAAGUAAAAAUAUUAUUUAGGUUACUUUGAAGAUAAGAGCUUUAUCUGUAAAGAAUCUACACACCAUACUUAUGCAUUUAAUUGUAAAUAAAAUUUCAAUUAAAAGGGCAACAUUUUCUGGUAACUUUUCUGGUGUAACUUUUGUUCCAAGUAUUCCUCUACUUCUUAGCUAAAUAAAACAAAGAAAAAAUGUAGACAGGUUAACUUUGCAGACUAUAUUUCCAUGAAUGCCUUCACUAGUUGUAAAUGAACAGAGAUUUUGUUCUGAAUGCUGAAUGGCAAUCUGAAUUCUUUGUAAACCAGUUAAUUCUCGUAAAGCUGUAAUGGACAAGGGUGGUAAACUGUAAAAACUAAAGACUAAGGCUUAUCUUCAGGGGCUCCUGAGGGUUUUGUGGAGGUCUUAUUUUCCCUAGAAAUGAAUAAAUAAAGGAUUUUACUUUGAAGUUCAUAUGCUUGGGGAACCAGUUUUGCAGUUUGUACCUGCAGCUAUGUAUGAAGUGUAAACAUCUUUUCUCUGAGUACUGUCUGGCAGCAGCACCGGCUCUGCAGCAGCAGCACCUCUCAGUUUGGUGAGCACUUCCCUGCAGGCCUGUCCUCCAACACACCGACCCAUGUUCCACACAGCACGGCAAGCCAGAAGCAUGCCUCCCUGUAGCACUCGUGAAGCAAAGGUCCCAAACGCAGGCAGGCGCUGCAGCCUGGCGCAGUCACGUCUCCGCAAGCCACGAUGAGGUGUGCAGGCUUUCAUCCACCUGACGGAGCUGGUGGCCACCUCCACAGCCCCGUGCCUCCGGCCAGCUGCGUUUGGAUACUGUGCUGGUGUGAGGCCGCACAAGGCUCCGUCGGAGCUCAUCUCCAUGUGCCCCAUGUUUAGGGCAAAUCCUGUUUGACCAACCUGGUGGCCUUCUGUGAUGGUCUCACUGUGUCAGUGAACAAGGGAAGAGCCACUGAUGUCAUCUGUCUUGACUUCAGUAAGGCCUUUGACACGGUACUCCACAACAUCCUUAUCUCCAAAUUGGAAAGGAGCAUCAGGGACCUUGAAGGCCGCAGUCUGUUUCACCAGUGUCCAGAAGUCUUUUUGUCCAGCCUCCUGCUUGCUGUGAAACCCUUCCAGUUUCCAUCCAUUGGUCCCCAUAAAAGUUCAGCAAGCAUCAAUAAAUAUCAAUAGGCCAAGGAGAGAACAAGCUGAGGACAGCAAUCCCUAAUUGGCCUUCUCAUCCUCAGGGUGGAGAACCCUACCACCAGGCCCCAAGUACCUCGCAGGUCCUCCAGUGCACCCUCUGCUGACCCAGUACAGCCACCCAGAGGACACCAGGCCCUCUCCUCCCCAUCCUUUUCCUUUGGGAUCAGGGCAGAAGAGAUGCCACCUUCUCACGCUCCAGAUGCAGGGGCGAGAGAUGGUGAAGGACAGCUGAUGGAACCCUUAAAACUCAACAGAAUGAUUGCAUCUCCCUUGGCUGCCUGUGGGUUGUUAGUAUGCUUUGCCCCUUCUUUGCUGCUGUCUGGUACCAGGAUGGUUCCACCCCAGGCAGCUGCAGGGUGGUUGAGAGCCCCCUUCUCCAACCCUCUUGGUACAUUCUUGCAGCCAUCUCAAAGAAUUGGGCCAUGGUCCCCAACUCUCAACUGCCAAAUUUUGGUCACUGUGGGACACUCAGAAUCCUAUUGCCAUGGCCACCUUCUUUUUUGAGUCCUAUAAAUAUGGAGGCCCUGCAUACAGAACGCCAGUCGCUGAGCUGAAGCAGCCAGUGACAGUUUGCGUCCAAGUGAGAUAUGCAAGAAGUUUUUAUUUCCCAGAGUGAGGAUGAAGUGUCCAUCUUUCAAGAAGAGGCAGAUGAUGGAAGUGGACAAUGACAUCGAGCCCAUGGAGGUGGACCUGCCAGGCAGAGAUGAAGAGCCCAUGGAGGUGGAUCUACCUCUCGAGGACGACCUGAUGGAAGUGGGUCCACUUCCAUUGGAGCAGGCAGUUCACCACUCCAUCACUGUAAGGCCAACCAUGAAGAGAUCACGCCCCAAAGAUCAUCACAGGGGCGCUGAGAUCCAUAUGCCUCCCUCCACAUGGCCGCUUCGAUGCAGGUGCUGGUCCUCCCAUCCCAUAAGUUUACCAUUAGCCAGGAGAGCCUCAGCUCAGGGCCAUCCUGGGGGCUUACAUGGAGCCUCCAUUUCCUGGUAAUUCUUCUUUUGACAGCCAAGGCUGUUAUGAGCCCAUCCUUCCCGUCCUCUUCCUUCAUGCCUCCCCAAAGGAAAGGAGGUCUGCCUCCUUUCUCUGCCUCAGAAGUGACGGAGGCAGCUGUUCCUGUGGAAAAGCAGACUUCGGUUUGGACAGAAAGAAGUGCUGAACUUCAGCAGGAAGAUCCAGUCCGGAUGCUUCACUUGGACUUUUUUUUCAAGAGUAGGGAACUAACAAUUUAAAAUAACAGUUCAAAAUAAUA